UUCCGGUUGAUCCCGCCGGAGGCUACAGCUCUGGGAGUCGGAUUAAGCCAUGCUAGCGGAGAGCAGCUCGGCUGCUCCGUGAAUAGCUCAGUAACACGUGGCCAAUCUACCCUUGGGAUGGGGAUAACCCCGGGAAACUGGGGAUAAUACCCAAUAGGUGGGGAUUCUGGAAGUGUCCCUCACUGAAAUGCUCUGGCGCCUAAGGACGAGGCUGCGGCCGAUUAGGUAGUUGGUGAGAUAAAGGCUCACCAAGCCGAAGAUGGGUACGGGCCCUGAGAGGGGGAGCCCGGAGAUGGGGACUGAGACAAGGCCCCAGGCCCUACGGGGCGCAGCAGGUGCGAAACUUCCGCAAUGCGUGAAAGCGCGACGGUGUGACUCCCAGUGCCGAUGGUCUAACGACCGUCGGCUUUUCUGGAAUGUAAAAGUUUCAGGUAAUAAGGGCCGGGUAAGACUGGUGCCAGCCGCCGCGGUAACACCAGCGGCUCGAGUGGUAGCCGAUUUUAUUGGGCCUAAAGCGCCCGUAGCCGGGCUGGCAAGUCCUUUGUGAAAUCGGACGGCUUAACCGUUCGGCUUGCAAGGGAAACUGUCGGUCUUGGGGCUGGUAGGCGUCGAGGGUACUCCAGGGGUAGCGGUGAAAACACGGAGAAUGUCCAUUUUAUUCAUUAUAGAAUGGUAUUCUAUCAUAUCGACGUAUUAGUGUUUAAGGAUGUUCUCCGUGGCACAAUGCUAUAAUCCUUGGGGGACCGCCAGUGGCGAAAGCGCUCGACGAGAUCAGACCUGACGGUGAGGGACGAAGGCCAGGGGCGCGAACCGGAUUAGAUACCCGGGUAGUCCUGGCUGCAAAGUAUGUGGGCUAGGUGCUGGGCGUUCCUCGAGAGCGUCCGGUGCCGAAGGAAAGCCAUUAAGCCCACCGCCUGGGAAGUACGGUCGCAAGACUGAAACUUAAAGAAAUUGGCGGGGGAGCACCACAAGGGGUGGAGCCUGCGGUUUAAUUGGAUUCAACGCCGGACAACUCACCGGGGGCGACGGCAGAAUGAAGGCCAAGCUGACGACUUUGCCGGACUCGCCGAGAGGCGGUGCAUGGCCGCCGCCAGCUCGUAUCGUGAGACGUCCUGUCAAGUCAGGUAACGAGCGAGACCCUCACCCUUAGUUGCCAUCGGGUUCCGUUAGGAAUGCCGGGCACUCUAAGGGGACCGCUGUCGAUAAGACUGAGGAGGGAGAGGGCGACGGUAGGUCCGUAUGCCCCGAAUCCCCCGGGCAACACGCGGGCUACAAUGCGUAGGGCAGAGGGCUGCGACCCCGAGAGGGGAAGCUAAUCCCUAAACCUGCGCUUAGUUCGGAUCGAGGGCUGCAACCCGCCCUCGUGAAGCUGGAAUCCCUAGUAAUCGCGUGUCAUUAUCGCGCGGUGAAUGCGUCCCUGCUCCUUGCACACACCGCCCGUCAAGCCAUCCGAGUGGGAUCUGGAUGAGGCUUGCUCGAUGUGA
rnacentral:rRNA from 1 species